GUGAGACAGCGCUCAGGUGGGUGGCAGGCCCGUGCUCCGGCCGAGGAAUGACCCGGAUGGCCGUCCUUGUCCCCAGGCUGCACACUGCGUCCUCUCUCAGAACCCCGAGAACCAGGCACUGGCUAGGUUUUACUGCCACACAGAGAAGACCAUCGCGAAGCGGCUGGUCCUACGGCAGUAAGGCACGGACUGGCGGGCGGGACCCGGGGCGCAUGCGAGCCGGCUGGCGAGCAGGCAGGCAGACAGGCAACGAUCUCCUCUCCUCACCCAGGGACCCCUCUGUGAAGAGGACGCUCUGUCGCGACUGCUCCUCUCUCCUCAUCCCUGGCCUCACCUGCACGCAGCGCCAGAGACGCCGAAAGGGACAACGCUGGACAGUACAGACCUGUCUGACAUGCCAGCGAAGCCAGCGGUUCCUCAAUGACCCCAAGCAUCUCCUCUGGGGUGACCGGCCUGAAGCCCAGUUGGAAAAUCAGGCGGAUUUCAAACCGUCAGAGCCCCUGCCAAACAUAGCUGACCUUUCUAAGGAGAACGUGCAGACUCAGGCUUUAAACACCACUGAAUGAACUCAUCCAUUUUCCAGAUAAAUAAAGUUGAGUUGUUUG
rnacentral:lncRNA from 1 species